GGGCUGAUUGGACGGUUUGGUCCGCCAAUCACCAUGGACAAAGGAGGAGCCUGGAAGCAAGCGCCUCUCACGCACGUGUUCGCAGGUGUUCGAACCUCCAGGCCCCAAGCCUUCCAAGGUGUGCGCCCGCUGGACGACGUGUGAAAGCAGCCACAGACAAGCACACUAAUGGAUGUGACUGUGUUCCAAUGAAACUUUAUGGACACUGCCUUCCUUUGCAUCUGCAGAGCUCAGAGGACCUCUGGAAGCCCACAUGAGCUGUGAGAAAUGGACCGUUUUGUACGAUGGCCGGAAGACUCCAGUUUGGGAUUAGAUGUUUAUGGAGGCAUUGGAUCAGAUUAUGCCUUUUGCACCAGUUGACUUGAAAACAACAAACAAAAAUUUGGUUUUGCAUGGAUAAAUAGACAAGUCUGAGUCAGGAAGCUGGAGGUGAGGGGGAGGGGUCGGGAGCACACAGGGUGGCGGGUAGGAAAGCGGCGUGGCGGGAGGCCGGGUAGACAAGGACCAGAAAAGACCCCGCCCCACCCGUCUUUCUAUCCCAGUUCCAUCCCUCGGAGACAGUCAUUUUAGCUCUUUAAGAUAUUUCUUCUGGGGUUAUCUCUAUGGCUGUAAAUAAUAUGCUUGUGUCACUAUGAGUGAUGAAGGUCACAGCAUCUCUACACUUCACUUCCACAUCUACCUCCCAACUUCUGCCAUUUACAGUUUUAAGGAUAAGAACAGAUAUGUUCUACUCUUAAUUACAACUAACUCUCCCACAAACCAAUCCUAAAAAUGAAAAUCACUUAAUAGCAUUUAUAUUGUUACUCAGUACAUACUGUUCUCUGAAGAAGCAGAAUGUUUAUGAAGCUUGCCCUUGCUUUUAUGAUGCAGUUUUUUUCCCCUGAAUUUUCUAUUUGCCUCUCUUUCAUCUCGUUACAUUUUUCUUUACCAUGGAUCUAUUUCCCCCAGCGAUUUCAUCCAAGCAGGUAUUCUGUUGAGCUUUUAAGCCCUCCCCUCUGAGGCUGGAUAUCCUUCUGCAGCAGACAGCCAGAUAUCCUCCUGCAGCAGACAGCACGGCUGAUGGGAUGGGAUUUUCCUCCAUGGUUGCCUCCUUGGGUUUCCAGGCUUUCUAAGAUCCACGUUCCCCCAUUUCUUAGAUGAUACCUUUCUUUUCCUGCAGCUCGUUUUCCUGUACCUUCCUAAGAAAUGAUGUAUGAGGGGUCCUGUUUGUCCCAAAAUGUCUUUAUUCUACAC
ensembl:lncRNA